rnacentral:rRNA from 1 species
GAUGAACGCUGGCGGCGUGCCUAAUACAUGCAAGUCGAGCGAACGGACGAGAAGCUUGCUUCUCUGAUGUUAGCGGCGGACGGGUGAGUAACACGUGGAUAACCUACCUAUAAGACUGGGAUAACUUCGGGAAACCGGAGCUAAUACCGGAUGAUAUUUUGAACCGCAUGGUUCAAAAGUGAAAGACGGUCUUGCUGUCACUUAUAGAUGGAUCCGCGCUGCAUUAGCUAGUUGGUAAGGUAACGGCUUACCAAGGCAACGAUGCAUAGCCGACCUGAGAGGGUGAUCGGCCACACUGGAACUGAGACACGGUCCAGACUCCUACGGGAGGCAGCAGUAGGGAAUCUUCCGCAAUGGGCGAAAGCCUGACGGAGCAACGCCGCGCGAGUGAUGAAGGUCUUCGGAUCGUAAAACUCUGUUAUUAGGGAAGAACAUAUGUGUAAGUAACUGUGCACAUCUUGACGGUACCUAAUCAGAAAGCCACGGCUAGCUACGUG